AUAAAAAACCAAUGCCUUCGGGCUCCUUGGUGAUUCAUGAUAACUUAACGAAUCGCAUGGCCUUGCGCCGGCGAUGGUUCAUUCAAAUUUCUGCCCUAUCAACUUUCGAUGGUAGGAUAGUGGCCUACCAUGGUUUCAACGGGUAACGGGGAAUUAGGGUUCGAUUCCGGAGAGGGAGCCUGAGAAACGGCUACCACAUCCAAGGAAGGCAGCAGGCGCGCAAAUUACCCAAUCCCAAUUCGGGGAGGUAGUGACAAUAAAUACUGAUACAGGGCUCUUUUGGGUCUUGUAAUUGGAAUGAGUACAAUUUAAAUCCCUUAACGAGGAACAAUUGGGGGGCAAGUCUGGUGCCAGCAGCCGCGGUAAUUCCAGCUCCAAUAGCGUAUAUUAAAGUUGUUGCAGUUAAAAAGCUCGUAGUUGAACCUUGGGUCUGGCUGCCCGGUCCGCCUAACCGCGUGCACUGGUGCGGCCGGAUCUUUCCUUCUGGCUAACCUCAUGCCCUUUACUGGGUGUGCU
rnacentral:rRNA from 1 species